AGUUUUGAUCCUGGCUCAGGACGAACGCUGGCGGCGUGCCUAAUACAUGCAAGUCGAGCGGACAGAAGGGAGCUUGCUCCCGGAUGUUAGCGGCGGACGGGUGAGUAACACGUGGGUAACCUGCCUGUAAGACUGGGAUAACUCCGGGAAACCGGAGCUAAUACCGGAUAGUUCCUUGAACCGCAUGGUUCAAGGAUGAAAGACGGUUUCGGCUGUCACUUACAGAUGGACCCGCGGCGCAUUAGCUAGUUGGUGAGGUAACGGCUCACCAAGGCGACGAUGCGUAGCCGACCUGAGAGGGUGAUCGGCCACACUGGGACUGAGACACGGCCCAGACUCCUACGGGAGGCAGCAGUAGGGAAUCUUCCGCAAUGGACGAAAGUCUGACGGAGCAACGCCGCGUGAGUGAUGAAGGUUUUCGGAUCGUAAAGCUCUGUUGUUAGGGAUAGAACAAGUGCAAGAGUAACUGCUUGCACUGACGUAC
rnacentral:rRNA from 1 species